AUGCGUGCCUAUCACCUAGGUCCAACCCAUCAGUGCACACCGUGGCCACUGGAGCCCUGCAAAAAGCCCCAGGAAGCGGUUUAUGGCCAAAAUGAUAUACACCACAAAGGGUUAUCUCUGAACUUCAGUGAAUGUCAUACCAAAAUUCGUCAUGUGGAUGCUCAUGCAACCUUGAGUGAUGGUGUAGUGGUACAGGGCAUGGGCUUGCUGUCUAACAGUGGACAGCCUGAGAGGAAGAUUAUGCAAACCUUUGUUCUGGCUCCAGAAGGAUCUGUUCCAAAUAAAAUUUAUGUUCACAAUGAUAUGUUUCGUUAUGAAGAUGAAGUAUUUGGUGAUUCUGAACCAGAACUUGAUGAAGAGUCAGAAGAUGAAGUGGAAGAGGAGCAAGAAGACAGGCAGCCGUCUCCUGAACCUGUGCGAGAGAAUGCUAACAGCGCUUACUAUAAUGCACACCCCGUGACUAAUGGCAUAGAGGAGACGUUAGAAGAAUCCUCUCAUGAACCUGAACCUGAGCCAGAAUCUGAAACAAAGACUGAAGAGCUGAAACCACAAGUGGAGGAGAAACACUUAGAAGAGCUAGAGGAGAAGUCGGCCACUCCUCCUCCUGAUGAGCCUGCUUCUCUGCCUAAAGAACCGCCAAAGCCAAGGGUUGACGCUAAGCCAGAAAUUCAGUCUCAGCCACCACGUGUACGUGAACAGCGACCUCGAGAGCGACCUGGUUUCCCUCCUCGAGGACCAAGGCCAGGCAGAGGAGAUGUGGAGCAGAAUGACUCUGACAACCGGAGAAUAAUUCACUAUCCAGACAGUCAUCAGCUUUUCAUUGGUAACUUGCCUCAUGAUACUGAUGAAAAUGAACUGAAAGAAUUCUUUAUGAGUUUUGGAAACAUUGUGGCACUUCGCAUCAAUACCGAGUGUUGGGGGAAAACUUCCAAUUUUUGGUUUUGUGGGUUUUGAUGACUCUGAACCAGUUCAGAGAAUCUUAAUUGCAAAACCAAUUAUGUUUUGAGGAGAAGUACGUUUAAAUGUGGAAGAGAAAAAAACAAGAGCUGCCAGAGAGCGAGAAACCAGAGGUGGUGGCGAUGACCACAGGGAUAUCAGGCGCAAUGAUCGGGGUGGUCCACGUGGAAUUGUGGGUGGUGGAAUGGUGCGUGAUCACGAUGGAAGAGGGCCACCUCCACGAGGUGGCAUGACACAGAAACUUGGUUCUGGAAGAGGAACCAGGCAAAUGGAAGGUUGCUUCACAGGACAGCGUCGUUGAAGUUCCACUGUUGGCAAAGUUUUGGCAGUGGUACCUAACUCAUCGUGUUUGCAUUCUUGUUAAGUUUUUUUGGCUUUGGAAUGUGACACAGCCUUUUUGAUCAUUUCUUUGAUGUGAAAAGCAUCUUUUGGUUAUCAGUUAAAUUGAGGUGGACAUUAUUUCCCCAAUUUCACAACAGGAUUCAUAUUGUUAAUUUAUAAAGCUAGACUUGGAGAAUUAAGGACUGAG